AGCUUUGCGCAGUGGCAGUAUCACAGCCAGUGAGGUUUAAUUGAGGCUCGAUCAUUACUAGUUGAAGAUGGCCAGCAGUG
rnacentral:snRNA from 1 species